rnacentral:rRNA from 1 species
UACGUAGGGCGCGAGCGUUAUUCGGAAUUACUGGGCGUAAAGCGUGCGCAGGCGGUCUGUUAAGUCCGAUGUGAAAUCCCCGGGCUUAACCUGGGAACUGCAUUGGUGACUGGCAGGCUUUGAGUGUGGCAGAGGGAGGUAGAAUUCCACGUGUAGCAGUGAAAUGCGUAGAGAUGUGGAGGAAUACCGAUGGCGAAGGCAGCCUCCUGGGCCAACACUGACGCUCAUGCACGAAAGCGUGGGGAGCAAACAGG